rnacentral:misc_RNA from 1 species
ACACCUCAACUCUCAUGGUUUGCCAUGACGAGCUUGGACUUUGGGGGUUUUGCUGGCCCUGUGGGUUGGCUCCUCUCAAAUGAAUCAGCUUACCAGUGUUGGUGGCGUCACAGGUGUGAUAACUGUCUACGCUUGUGGCCGCCCACCGGGUGACCUUCAGUGAUGGAGGUUUGCUGGAGCUUACAGAUGUCUCUCCUCAGUGAAGACAGCUUUUUGAAAGU